rnacentral:rRNA from 1 species
AUUGAACGCUGGCGGCAUGCCUUACACAUGCAAGUCGAACGGUAACAGGUCUUCGGAUGCUGACGAGUGGCGAACGGGUGAGUAAUACAUCGGAACGUGCCCGAUCGUGGGGGAUAACGGAGCGAAAGCUUUGCUAAUACCGCAUACGAUCUACGGAUGAAAGCAGGGGACCGCAAGGCCUUGCGCGGACGGAGCGGCCGAUGGCAGAUUAGGUAGUUGGUGGGGAUAAAAGCUUACCAAGCCGACGAUCUGUAGCUGGUCUGAGAGGACGACCAGCCACACUGGGACUGAGACACGGCCCAGACUCCUACGGGAGGCAGCAGUGGGGAAUUUUGGACAAUGGGCGCAAGCCUGAUCCAGCCAUGCCGCGUGCAGGAUGAAGGCCUUCGGGUUGUAACUAGCUUUGUUACGGUAACGAAAAGACUACUUCUAAUAAAGAGGGUCCAUGACGGUACCGUAACGAAUAAGACACCGGCGUAACUACGUGUCCAGCAGCCGCGGUAAAACCG